UUGAACGCUGGCGGCAGGCCUAACACAUGCAAGUCGAGCGGAUGAAGGGAGCUUGCUCCUGGAUUCAGCGGCGGACGGGUGAGUAAUGCCUAGGAAUCUGCCUGGUAGUGGGGGAUAACGUCCGGAAACGGGCGCUGAUACCGCAUACGUCCUGAGGGAGAAAGUGGGGGAUCUUCGGACCUCACGCUAUCAGAUGAGCCUAGGUCGGAUUAGCUAGUUGGUGGGGUAAAGGCCUACCAAGGCGACGAUCCGUAACUGGUCUGAGAGGAUGAUCAGUCACACUGGAACUGAGACACGGUCCAGACUCCUACGGGAGGCAGCAGUGGGGAAUAUUGGACAAUGGGCGAAAGCCUGAUCCAGCCAUGCCGCGUGUGUGAAGAAGGUCUUCGGAUUGUAAAGCACUUUAAGUUGGGAGGAAGGGCAGUAAGUUAAUACCUUGCUGUUUUGACGUUACCAACAGAAUAAGCACCGGCUAACUUCGUG
rnacentral:rRNA from 1 species